AGAGUUUUGAUCCUGGGCUCAGGAUGAACGCUGGCGGCGUGCUUAACACAUGCAAGUCGAACGGACCCAUAUUGAAACCUAGUGAUAUAUGGGUUAGUGGCGGACGGGUGAGUAACGCGUGGGUAACCUGCCUUACACAGGGGGAUAACACUUAGAAAUAGGUGCUAAAACCGCAUAAGCGCACAGCUUCGCAUGAAGCGGUGUGAAAAACUCCGGUGGUGUAAGAUGGACCCGCGUCUGAUUAGCUUGUUGGCGGGGUAACGGCCCACCAAGGCGACGAUCAGUAGCCGGCCUGAGAGGGCGGACGGCCACAUUGGGGCUGAGACACGGCCCAGACUCCUACGGGAGGCAGCAGUGGGGAAUAUUGCACAAUGGGGGAAACCCUGAUGCAGCGACGCCGCGUGAGUGAAGAAGUAAUUCGUUACGUAAAGCUCUAUCAGCAGGGAAGAAAAUGACGGUACCUGAGUAAGAAGCCCCGGCUAACUACGUG
rnacentral:rRNA from 1 species